rnacentral:lncRNA from 7 species
CCACCCUGAGGAAUUCUUCCCUCUUCUGAUUACACCUCCCUUAAGUUUUGAAAAAUCACAGCAAGAGGUCUCCGUUGGGGUUUCCUUGUUUUGCAGAAGUAUUUGCCUGCUUGUUUGCAUGCUGUCAGACAGGUAUUGGGAAAUCUGCGUUCAUUGUCCCUGGCUUUUUUCCAGUUUCAGCUCAGGACUGAAUGCAUAAGCACUGACAUCUGAGCGGUGCCGUGUUGCUAUAACUCUACAGAAUGCAACUCGUAUAGUAGAGAUUCAUCCACGCAUAACUCGAAGCCUAAAAUCUUCCCUCUUGCCAAUCAAUAGAAGAUUCAUAUGGUGGAGUUCCAAGACUAUUUAAGUGUUUUUAUCUGACUGACAUGAACAGACAAUGCUCGCUUGAUUUAUCUGUAAAAAAGCAACAGGGUAGCACAAUCUUUAUCAAACCAAUUACUUGCCUUCUGAGCUAUUGAAAACAUUAUACCAAGCUGAUGAUUUUCAGUCCUCCAAAUGAUCCUAGCACAAUAGAACCAACUAAUUCACUGGGCAUACUCCAUGUAGCCCUUCUUAUUUAAUCUUUGUGACAGAUAUCUAAAUAUUAAGAGAAACUCUCUAAAUUAUGCUAAGGCAAUACUGGAAGAUCCUCUCCGCUCUGUUGCCUUGCCGAGGAGUACAAUUACAUCUUGCAUUUCUCUAUUCCACCUCUAGCCCUGUUUUAUAGCUCCCUGUAUUACAAAUUUGUUUUCUUUCAUUGGUUCAAAGGUAAGGCUGAGAAUACACAAUGGAAUGAUAUAAGCUUGCUUUUAUUAUUGUUAUUCACACCCUGAGUUGUGAGUGGACUGAUAAUAAGCCUGCACAUAAGGGUGUGAUGCAUUAUUAGUAAUUGAGAAAGGAGAGGAAUAACAAUGAGAAUUUUCCUCUUUGUCCUUUGUUCUAAAGAGAGGGAGAUAGGAUGUUCACAGAGACUGCAAUAAAGCAUGCUCUGAAG